UACGUAGGGGGCAAGCGUUGUCCGGAAUCAUUGGGCGUAAAGCGCGCGUAGGCGGCCCGGUAAGUCCGUUGUGAAAGUCAAAGGCUCAACCUUUGAACGCCGAUGGAUACUGCCGGGCUAGAGUCCGGAAGAGGCGAGUGGAAUUCCUGGUGUAGCGGUGGAAUGCGCAGAUAUCAGGAGGAACACCAAUAGCGAAGGCAGCUCGCUGGGACGGUACUGACGCUAAGGCGCGAAAGCGUGGGGAGCAAACAGG
rnacentral:rRNA from 1 species